GGAGCCUGCGGCUUAAUUUGACUCAACACGGGAAACCUCACCCGGCCCGGACACGGACAGGAUUGACAGAUUGAUAGCUCUUUCUCGAUUCCGUGGGUGGUGGUGCACGGCCGUUCUUAGUUGGUGGAGCCAUUUGUCUGGUUAAUUCCAAUAACGAACGAGACUCUGGCAUGCUAACUAGUUACACGACCCAAGGAACCUUGUUGUUGUUGUUGUUUUUUAACAUUUAUUUACUUAUUCCCUUUUGUUGCCCUUGUUUUAUUGUUGUAGUUAUUAUUGUUGUCAUCGUUGUUGGAUAGGACAGAGAGAAAUGAAGAGAGGAGGGGAAGACAGAGCAGGGAAGAGAAAGAUAGACACCUGCAGACCUGCUUC
rnacentral:ncRNA from 1 species